UGAAUGUUGAUAUGGUUUUGGCUCUGUCCCCAUGAAUCUCACUUCUAAUUGUAAUCUCCAUAAUCCCCAUGUGUCAAGGGCUGGACCAGGUGGAAGUAACUGAAUCAUGGGGAGGGUUUCCCCGUGCUGUUCUCGUGAUAGUGCCUUCUCACAAGAUCUGAUGGCUUUACAUGUGCUUGGCAUUUUCCCUGUUUGCCUUCCCUUCUUCCUGCUACCUAGUGAAGAAGGUGCCUGCUUCUCCUCUGCUUUCUGCCAUGAUCAUAAGUUUCCUGAGGCCUCCCAGCAUUAUGAAACUGUUCUCACUCAAUCACCCAGGCUAGAGAGCAGUGGCAUGAUCAUAGCUCACUGCAGCCUUGACCUUCUGGGCUCAAGCGAUUCUCCAACUUCAGACUCCCAAGUAGCUUACACCACAGCCUUGCCUGGAUUCUCCAUCUCCUCAACCCCAGGAACCAACAAGCUAUCAAAGACAGAAUUUGCACCAGAGGACAAAGGAAGGCUAUAAGCAUGUUGAAGGCAGAGACUAUACCUUGUUCAGUGUUCUGUCUCUAGUAUCUACUGCAAGACCAAGCAAACAGUCUGGUCAAGAGAAGGUCAGUUUCCCUGGGAAAGAUUCUGAGAUGGAGAAUUGUGUGCGGUGAGCUUGUUGAAAAGUGCAGGGUGGAAACAACACCUGUGCAAAGGAUGAGGGUAAGAGGACUGGUCAGGGGAGGAAAUUGGACAGAUGUAUAAUUGCAACGGAAGUCCCAUCUGAUCCCCAUGGGGAACUGUAGACCUUGGAUGGCCUUGCUGAUUUGUCCUGAACUGAGGCCAGAGCGCGGCAGGACCUUUGUAUCCUCAGAGCCAGGUGGAUAUUGGGCAGCUCCUGGGGAUGGGUGGGGAAAGGGUGUCACCUUAAGUGAGUUAGCUUUUUCCACUGGCCAAAAAGAUAAUUACAGAGUGGGGUUUCUGUUGUGAGUUGGGCAGCAGCCUGCUCAGCACUGGAGCACCCCAGCAGGAAAGGAGCCCAUCUGAGAGGCACCCUCAACAUUGUAGAUACAGCCUGAGUCAGGCUAGCCUUCCUCCAGUACAGGGGUUUUCAACCUUGGCGUUAUGGAGAUUUGGGGCUAGAUAAAUCUUCAUCGUGGGGGCUCUCUUGUGUACUGUAGGAUAGAAUAAAGAGUCUGACUCCAUUUCUAAUAGUUGACUG
rnacentral:lncRNA from 13 species